rnacentral:lncRNA from 1 species
CAGACUUGUCUGGGACACUAUUUUCAUCACUUUUUGAGAAAAAGAAAAAAAAAAGAGUCACGUUGUCUGCAUUUCCAGCUGUUUCCAUUUCUUCCCUCUUACUUGCUCUGGCGCUAAACUUAGAGACAGGAGUCCUGGGGGAACUUUAAAGGGACAUUGGCCUCUCCAAAAUCCUUUCUUCAGCAAGGGUUUCUGGGGUUAACAGCAGCUGUCCCCAAGAGAGGCAAGGUGAAGAGGUGGCAGUGUAUUUCUAGCACCCUGGUCCUGCUCUGUGGCACACAGCUGCAGAGCUGUCCUGGAUGCAGAGCUCAAGUGUGCCUGGCAGUGCAUGUGCGUCCUCAUGGCGUGUUGUGGCAUGUCUGGCCCAGAGGCCCCCAGGUCCGGUUGCAUCUAAAACUUGCCUAAUAAGCUGCACUGGUGGCGGGAGUUGCUGGGCCUGAGGGGCUGGGCCCCAGAAAUGCAGGGGCACAAACACAUCAGGGGCCAACCUCAACCUGCAACACCAUGAACACUUGGCUUCCUUGGCCUCUCUGUGGCCUUUUGGGGUCCCUGUUGUAACCAGGGCAGCCAACCCUGAUCACUCCCUCUCUUGGCUUAUCUAUGCUGGCCUCACUGCUCCCUCCCUCUACUUCCUGAGGUCUCCUCUAAACUAAAUUACUUGAGCCCCAAUUCUGGUCCCAGGCUCUGCUUUUUGGGGAACCCAACUACAUUAGCUUAUCUGUUUGCAUGCAC